rnacentral:tRNA from 1 species
AGGGUUAUAGUUAUGUAUAACAUUUAAUUUGCAAUUAAAAAGUAUUGAUUUAUCAAUUUUCCUU